rnacentral:rRNA from 1 species
AUUGAACGCUGGCGGCAUGCUUUACACAUGCAAGUCGAACGGCAGCGCGGGCUUCGGCCUGGCGGCGAGUGGCGAACGGGUGAGUAAUGCAUCGGAACGUGCCCAGUAGUGGGGGAUAGCCCGGCGAAAGCCGGAUUAAUACCGCAUACGACCUGAGGGUGAAAGCGGGGGACCGAAAGGCCUCGCGCUAUUGGAGCGGCCGAUGUCGGAUUAGCUAGUUGGUGGGGUAAAGGCUUACCAAGGCGACGAUCCGUAGCUGGUCUGAGAGGACGACCAGCCACACUGGGACUGAGACACGGCCCAGACUCCUACGGGAGGCAGCAGUGGGGAAUUUUGGACAAUGGGGGCAAGCCUGAUCCAGCCAUGCCGCGUGCGGGAAGAAGGCCUUCGGGUUGUAAAGCGCUUUUGUUCGGGAAGAAAUCCUCUGGGCUAAUACCCCGGGGGGAUGACGGUACCGGAAGAAUAAGCACCGGCUAACUACGUG